GCCCAGCGGCUGGAGAAUGCCUGCAGCGAGCUGCUUCUUACCUUCCUGUAUCCCCAGAGCUGGUUCCCCUUCAUGCCGUGACAGUCGUAGAGAGUGACCGGGCUGUUGUGGGAGAUCGCAUCGAAGCAGAACUUCCGGGUGUGGAGAGGCUCCCCGGGCCGAAUAUCUUCUCUCCAUCCAAAUGUAAAGAGCUAACAAAACAACAUCAGCAGAAGAGCGACAGAACCUGAAAGCCAGUACACAAUGCUACAGUGAUCUCAAGCAGCUAAAUAGAUGUCCCUGGAAAAAAGAAUGGCACAAAUUGCUUCCUUCAUAGAAGCCAAAUUAGCCGUCACUGGUGUUCUGCAACAAAAGGCAUUUUCUUAUUCAGGUGCUUCAAUAGACUAUCCACUAUUUCCCCAUGUAAUUAUUUUGUAUAUUCAUGUGUGUUUUAUUUUUGCCACUUGUUAAAAACGAUCAUUUCAACUCUAAUAAAUGCCCCUUUUGUGUUCUUUGAA